rnacentral:misc_RNA from 1 species
AAAAUAAUGGUGGUCUAGAAUAUAUAUAUAAGAGUCGUCCAAAUGGUUGCAACUCUUAAGAUACAUGAGAGAAGAAUCCUCUGAUAUGAAGUAAACACUUGCCGCCAAUGAGUCUGUUACAUCACAAACUUGUUUCUACUAUUUCUUGAUCGAAAUAAAUUAGGGACGCCUCUCUGUUUGUACAUCCGCCAGGACCACACUGCUCGCUCCAUUCAAUUAGAAUCUGAAAUCAGGAUCAACAUCCAUUGCCCACGCAAAUUUCCCAAGAAGCGACUUGUUAAACAUCUUUUCAAUAGGAACUUCAUGCCGCUUGCACCAUGCAACGGUAAUUCUGGGAUCGAGAUAGUUUAUCUUUGAUGUACCCAAUGCAACAGUCUUCAAGUCCUCUUUAAUCUUUUUGUCAAUUUCCAUUUUCUCUAUCUUUGUUUCAGCCUGAGCAAGCUUCUUCUCCAACGCUUCCGGGGCCAAGUUCCUUUUCGGGUUUCCCUCUGCAUCUUUUUUGGGAGGCUUCCCCUUCCUCGCCCUACUCAAAUCCUCCUUCAAUUCAUCCCUUUGUGCCUUUAGCUCAUCAAUCUUCUCAUUUAAUCUUGACAUUUGAGCAUCGUGAGACUUUGAGACACUACGUUGAUGAUUGCAGAUUAUCGCAACCUCUUUGUUUGCACUCUGAUAACAAGCAAUUUUUUCUGGCAAUGUGACACCCUUUGUAUCCUUGUUUAACAUUUCAUCCAAGGUAAUAGAGGCAUUGUAUGUACGGAAAACUUUAGCUGUCAGACCAGGCAUGAGUUCCUUCAGGUGUGCAUUAAGUUUGCUCGUGUCUAGCAUAUCAAAAAGAUCAUCUCCACCAGCCUUUUUCGAUCCACUUUUUGAUACAGUUCGAAAGUCUCCAAUAGCUUUG